rnacentral:rRNA from 1 species
CGCUUAAUGAUUAUAAUUUUAAGUCAAUCUGCCCAAUGAUUUUAAAUUUAAUGGCUGCAGUAUAACUAACUGUACAAAGGUAGCAUAAUCAAUUGUUUUUUAAUUGAAAACUGGAAUGAAAGAAUUAAUGAGAUAUAUACUGUCUCAUAUAUAUUUAAUGAAUUUAAAUUUUUAGUAAAAAUGCUUAAAUAAUUUUAUGGGACGAUAAGACCCUAUAGAAUUUUAUAUUAAUAUUUAAUUAAUUAUUUAAUUUAUUUAUUAAUAUUUAAUUGGGAGGAUUAGUAAAUUUAAAAAACUUUAUUUUAAAAUAAAACUUUGAUUUAAGAAUAUUUAUUAGAUCUUGUAUUAUAAAUUAAAAGAAUAAAUUACCUUAGGGAUAACAGCGUAAUAUCUUUUUAAAGAUCAUAUUAAUAAAGAUGAUUACGACCUCGAUGUUGAAUUAAGAUAAAUUGUAAACGAAGAAGUUUAAAAAUUAAGUCUGUUCGACUUUUAAAAUCUUACAUGAUUUGAGUUCAAAUCGACGUAAGU